rnacentral:rRNA from 1 species
AGUGAACGCUGGCGGUAGGCCUAACACAUGCAAGUCGAACGGCAGCACAGUAAGAGCUUGCUCUUACGGGUGGCGAGUGGCGGACGGGUGAGGAAUACAUCGGAAUCUACUUUUUCGUGGGGGAUAACGUAGGGAAACUUACGCUAAUACUGCAUACGACCUACGGGUGAAAGCAGGGGAUCUUCGGACCUUGCGCGAUUGAAUGAGCCGAUGUCGGAUUAGCUAGUUGGCGGGGUAAAGGCCCACCAAGGCGACGAUCCGUAGCUGGUCUGAGAGGAUGAUCAGCCACACUGGAACUGAGACACGGUCCAGACUCCUACGGGAGGCAGCAGUGGGGAAUAUUGGACAAUGGGCGCAAGCCUGAUCCAGCCAUACCGCGUGGGUGAAGAAGGCCUUCGGGCUGUAAAGCCCUUUUGUUGGGAAAGAAAAGCAGCAGGUUAAUACCCCGCUGUUCUGACGGUACCCAAAGAAUAAGCACCGGCUAACUUCGUG